GAUGAAGAACGUAGUGAACGUGCGAAACGUAAUGUGAAUUGCAGAAUUCAGUGAAUCAUCGAAUCUUUGAACGCACAUUGCGCCCGCUGGUAUUCCGGCGGGCAUGCCUGUUCGAGCGUCAUUUCAACCCUCAAGCCCCCGGGUUUGGUGUUGGGGAUCGGCUCUGCCCUUCUGGGCGGUGCCGCCCCCGAAAUACAUUGGCGGUCUCGCUGCAGCCUCCAUUGCGUAGUAGCUAACACCUCGCAACUGGAACGCGGCGCGGCCAUGCCGUAAAACCCCAACUUCUGAAUGUUGACCUCGGAUCAGGUAGGAAUACCCGCUGAACUUAAGCAUAUCAAUAAGCGGAGGA
rnacentral:misc_RNA from 1 species